rnacentral:rRNA from 1 species
GAGUUUGAUCAUGGCUCAGAUUGAACGCUGGUGGCAUGCCUUACACAUGCAAGUCGAACGGCAGCACGGGAGCUUGCUCCUGGUGGCGAGUGGCGAACGGGUGAGUAAUGCAUCGGAACGUAUCCUGGAGUGGGGGAUAACGUAGCGAAAGUUACGCUAAUACCGCAUAUUCUGUGAGCAGGAAAGCGGGGGACCUUCGGGCCUCGCGCUCUUGGAGCGGCCGAUGUCGGAUUAGCUAGUUGGUGAGGUAAAGGCUCACCAAGGCGACGAUCCGUAGCAGGUCUGAGAGGAUGAUCUGCCACACUGGAACUGAGACACGGUCCAGACUCCUACGGAGGCAGCAGUGGGGAAUUUUGGACAAUGGGGGCAACCCUGAUCCAGCCAUGCCGCGUGAGUGAAGAAGGCC